UACGUAGGGUCCAAGCGUUAUCCGGAAUUACUGGGCGUAAAGAGUUGCGUAGGUGGCAUAGUAAGCGAAUAGUGAAAUGACGAGGCUCAACCUUGUGUCCAUUAUUUGAACUGCUAAGCUAGAGAAUGAGAGAGGUCACUGGAAUUCCCUGUGGUAGGAGUGAAAUCCGUAGAUAUAGGGAGGAACACCGAUGGCGUAGGCAGGUGACGUGGCUCAUUCUGACACUAAGGCACGAAAGCGUGGGGAGCAAACGGG
rnacentral:rRNA from 1 species